AAAUAAGAAAACCCAAGGACCUGUCUAACCCAGAGAGUGAUCAAAGGUGAGUUUGCAGAAAGACACACAGGUGACAUUCACAGCAGUGGGUUUUCCAAUAACGAAUAAGCCAACUGUCCUGGCUAAUGUGCAAACAGACAGAGACGCUGAUCUAACUGACCUUUCAGCCCCACACAGGCGGGACCAUCAACACCCACUCCAGCCUGCCCUGACCACACAAGCAUCGUCCUAAGGAAAAGAAGCUGGAGAGAGACAACCAUAGAGUUUAUGAUCCCAUUUACAUAAAAUGUCCAAGGAAAGUUUUAAUCCAGAUCCGUUGAGGUGGGAAGAUACACCUUUAAUCUGGUGGCAGCCUAUGUAAAGGACAGAGGAGGAGGAAGGUUUUGCUCUUUGCCUUUGCUCUUGCCAGCAAGUCCAUUCCUUCACUGGCAUUAGAGCUACUUCUCUGGGAUUCCAGCAUACUCUGAAGACCAGCUGAGACAUCCAGCCUCAUAGACUGAACAAAUAUUAGAUUCUUGGACUUUCCAUUGGUAUAUAGUCAUUGUUGGACUAGCUGGACCACAGCCUGCAAGACACUCUGAUAAACCUGAAUAAAUGAAUUUAUAUGUACA
rnacentral:sRNA from 1 species